rnacentral:lncRNA from 1 species
AGGAAUACAGACUAGUUAAAGUUACGCUAUUAGCAUUCUCUGUUGGAAGGUUAUCGAGUAAGUUUUUAUGUUGAUUCGUUAAAUUUAUGGUUUUUCUUUUUUUGCUUUGCAUAGUAUACUUUGAGAUGGUUGUUUAAGUGUGUUGCAUGAAUCUCUGAUAGUCACUCGUUUGGUUCCCUGUUAGGCAUGGAUAUUGAGACUAGCGAACCUCAGCAAGUCAAUUCGAGUAAUCGUCGUUGAUUUUCUAUAAGUUUUGGUUUAGUUGAAUGUUGAUGUCGAAAUUUUCGACUUAGGUACUUUGAGUAUAAUUGUGCAU